rnacentral:rRNA from 1 species
AUUUAGUCACCCUAGGUAGUAACACUAAACCAAUAUACAAUGGCGGUCUUUAACAUUUAGAGAAACUCGCUUUGUAAUCGUAAACACCCGCUAAUUUUAACUUAAAUUAAAAAUUUAUAUACCGCCGUCAAAGAACUACUUUAAAAUUCAGAUCUCAAUUUUAUAUAUAAAAAUAAAUCAGGUCAAGGUGUAAUCAAUAUUUAAGAAAAAGUAAGUUACUAUAAAAACAAUUUAAGGAAUAGAAUUUAAAACAACUAAGAAAAAGAAUUUAUAUAUACAUUAAAAUCAAAAAUCUUAAUAGAAUAACAAAAUAAAGACGU